UACGUAGGGGGCAAGCGUUGUCCGGAAUCAUUGGGCGUAAAGAGCGUGUAGGCGGUUCGAUAAGUCUGCUGUGAAAGUCCAGGGCUCAACCCUGGAAAGCCGGUGGAUACUGUCGGACUAGAGUGCGGAAGAGGCGAGUGGAAUUCCCGGUGUAGCGGUGAAAUGCGCAGAUAUCGGGAGGAACACCAAUUGCGAAGGCAGCUCGCUGGGACGUUACUGACGCUGAGACGCGAAGGCGUGGGUAGCAAACGGG
rnacentral:rRNA from 1 species